UGGUGGGUAGUUUGACUGGGGCGGUCUCCUCCUAAAGAGUAACGGAGGAGCACGAAGGUUGGCUAAUCCUGGUCGGACAUCAGGAGGUUAGUGCAAUGGCAUAAGCCAGCUUGACUGCGAGCGUGACGGCGCGAGCAGGUGCGAAAGCAGGUCAUAGUGAUCCGGUGGUUCUGAAUGGAAGGGCCAUCGCUCAACGGAUAAAAGGUACUCCGGGGAUAACAGGCUGAUACCGCCCAAGAGUUCAUAUCGACGGCGGUGUUUGGCACCUCGAUGUCGGCUCAUCACAUCCUGGGGCUGAAGUAGGUCCCAAGGGUAUGGCUGUUCGCCAUUUAAAGUGGUACGCGAGCUGGGUUUAGAACGUCGUGAGACAGUUCGGUCCCUAUCUGCCGUGGGCGCUGGAGAACUGAGGGGGGCUGCUCCUAGUACGAGAGGACCGGAGUGGACGCAUCACUGGUGUUCGGGUUGUCAUGCCAAUGGCACUGCCCGGUAGCUAAAUGCGGAAGAGAUA
rnacentral:rRNA from 5 species